rnacentral:lncRNA from 1 species
UUGCUAACGCUGAAUGAGUGAGGAGUCGUCCCGCUCGGUGGACCCCCGUGUCAAAGUCGUCCACGGAGAAUUGACAAAUUUUGAUUCAGAAUCCAUCCACAACAGUUGCCUCACUUCUUCUUUAGAAGAACAAUCGGUCCACUACGAACCUUGAACACCUUGAUGAAGGACACUCCUACCAACAACAGCCUACACGUUUUACCCAGGGGGAAACCGCGACUGGUCUUCUCAGGGACUGGAGAAGAUCAAGUUCACCUCAUUAUUAGCCUACACACCCCCUCUGACCUUUUCCAGCUCCCACCC